rnacentral:rRNA from 1 species
AUUGAACGCUGGCGGCAGGCCUAACACAUGCAAGUCGAGCGGAUGAAGGGGGCUUGCUCCUGGCUUCAGCGGCGGACGGGUGGGUAAUGCCUAGGAAUCUGACUGGUAGUUGGGGAUAACGUACGGAAACGGGCGCUAAUCCAGCAUCCGUCCUGAGGGAGAACGUGGGGGAUCAUCAGACAUCACGCUAUUAGAUGAGCCUGGGCCGGAUUAGCUAGUUGGUGGGGUAAAGGCUUACCAAGGCAACGAUGCGUAGCUGAUCUGAGAGGAUGAUCAGUCACACUGGAACUGAGACACGGUCCAGACUCCUACGGGAGGCAGCAGUAGGGAAUCUUCCGCAAUGGGCGAAAGCUUGACGGAGCCACGCCGCGUGAGUGAUGAAGGUCUUCGGAUCGUAAAACUCUGUUAUUAGGGAAGAACAAAUGUGUAAGUAACUAUGCACGUCUUGACGGUACCUAAUCAGAAAGCCACGGCUAACUACGUG